rnacentral:rRNA from 1 species
UGCGUAGGCGGAUUAAUAAGUCAGUGGUGAAAUCUUUCGGCUCAACCGAGAAACUGCCAUUGAUACUGUUAAUCUUGAGUUCGGUUGAGGUAGGCGGAAUGUGUAAUGUAGCGGUGAAAUGCUUAGAUAUUACACAGAACACCAAUUGCGUAGGCAGCUUACUAGACCGACACUGACGCUGAGGCACGAAAGCAUGGGGAGCGAACAGGAUUAGAUACCCUGGUAGUCC